rnacentral:rRNA from 1 species
GACGAACGCUGGCGGCGUGCUUAACACAUGCAAGUCGAACGGAAAGGCCCUGCUUUUGUGGGGUGCUCGAGUGGCGAACGGGUGAGUAACACGUGAGUAACCUGCCCUUGACUUUGGGAUAACUUCAGGAAACUGGGGCUAAUACCGGAUAGGAGCUCCUGCUGCAUGGUGGGGGUUGGAAAGUUUCGGCGGUUGGGGAUGGACUCGCGGCUUAUCAGCUUGUUGGUGGGGGAGUGGCUUACCAAGGCUUUGACGGGUAGCCGGCCCGAGAGGGUGGACGGCCUCAUUGGGACUGCGGUACGGCCCAGACUCCUACGUGAGGCAGCAGUGGCGAAUCUUGCACAGUGGGCGGAAGCCUGAUGCAGCAACGCCGCGUGCGGGAUGACGGCCUUCGGGUUGUAAACCGCUUUCGCCUGUGACGAAGCGUGAGUGACGGUAAUGGGUAAAGAAGCACCGGCUAACUACGUG